CGAGGCGUGGCGCAGUCCGGUAGCGCAUCUGCUUUGGGAGCAGAGGGUCGUCGGUUCAAAUCCGGCCGCCUCGA
rnacentral:tRNA from 2 species